CCAGCGAACUUAGCAGAGAUGCUUUGGUGCCUUCGGGAACGCUGAGACAGGUGCUGCAUGGCUGUCGUCAGCUCGUGUUGUGAAAUGUUGGGUUAAGUCCCGCAACGAGCGCAACCCUUAUCCUUUGUUGCCAGCGGUUCGGCCGGGAACUCAAAGGAGACUGCCAGUGAUAAACUGGAGGAAGGUGGGGAUGACGUCAAGUCAUCAUGGCCCUUACGAGUAGGGCUACACACGUGCUACAAUGGCGCAUACAAAGAGAAGCGACCUCGCGAGAGCAAGCGGACCUCAUAAAGUGCGUCGUAGUCCGGAUUGGAGUCUGCAACUCGACUCCAUGAAGUCGGAAUCGCUAGUAAUCGUAGAUCAGAAUGCUACGGUGAAUACGUUCCCGGGCCUUGUACACACCGCCCGUCACACCAUGGGAGUGGGUUGCAAAAGAAGUAGGUAGCUUAACCUUCGGGAGGGCGCUUACCACUUUGUGAUUCAUGACUGGGGUGAAGUCGUAACAAGGUAAGCGUAGACGU
rnacentral:rRNA from 1 species